ensembl:ncRNA lncRNA:iab8 long non-coding RNA:iab8
ACUCACCUGCGACGUCGUCUGUUGUGAAGUUCUUGCGACGUGAGCGACCGAAACUCGGGGCCCCGAAAAACUAGAGGCCCAAAAAACAGGAUUGUGAGCGAGCGAGGGAGCGGAGGAAUUUCGAGGGACUUUCUGCGACUGCGUCGUCGCCCAGACAAAAACAAAAAAAAUGCAGAAACAAAGGCCGACGGACGAAGGAAGUUGCCCAGGUUUGAUUACACAUCGACCCCUGGAGCGAGGACUUAACCCGACGGCAGCUGCAUCAGUUUCAGUUCUCCGAGGGACAUGUAGAUGGAUACUCUGGGCCCUCAUCUGCGUCUUCGCGUGUGUUUGUGUGUUUUUAUAACAUUUGUGGAUUACGCCUAUAAAAACUACACUUCACCGCGAAGCCAGCGAAGUGGGCACCAGCUACAACAAAGGACAACAAUUAUUCUGCAAAAAUGAUACAACCUGUCGCUCGAGAGAUUACAAACGGAGCUGCUUUUAUGGUUUGUUCCGCUUUUGUUUAACGAUUCCGAGGAUCACACGUAAUAACCCACGCAAUCCACCACCGAAGUCGGAAAACCGACUCAACGGAACGCAGCGCAACUUGACUCAACCGAAACUCGACACUUAUCCCUGGGAACUCAAAAUAGUGUUUUAUUGUUGGAAAUUACGAUUCUUUUAUUUAUUUACUUUUUCUGCAUUUCUUUGCCGCCCCACACACACCCACCGUUUCAAUUUUUAUAUGUUUAUUACGGUUAUUAUCGCUUAAUGGGGCUCGCUCGCUGGUUAUUGCUGUUGUUGUGUUGCUUGCACCAGUAGUUGUGUCAGACUAACGUGUGAAGUUGUUUUAUUAUUUGUUUUGAUUAUCAAAAUGGGCGUUUUACAUUUUUCCGGUCGUUGGGCGGCCCACCUGCCACGGGCCCACCGCUUAUAGUCCACAUCCCAUAACCCCGGGGCAAGGGCAGUAAAUCACGGCCCGCUGUGAGUGGCUGAGUACCUGGGCAGCAGUACACUUGAAAAAUAAUAACCCUUCUCUUUUAAAAUAUUGGACGGCUAGACAUAAUAUUCAAUUACAAAUACAUCACAGCAAUAAACCAUUUUUCGGGCUUCUAUAACAAGUUGAAUUAACCUAAAGAACUUUUUAAUUUAUUUAAAAACCAUUUUGAAUUUAUUUAGUUAAAUUUAGUUACUUAAAAUGUUCCAUCAUGUAUAAAUUAGUAAUAUGUCAUAAAAAUAGUUUAAUUCAAUACUAUUUCGUUACAAUAAUACGAAUUUUGCAUCAUCAAAGGUUAUACAAAAUAAAAUUACCAGUUAUAUUUUCAGUGCAUGAGUAAAUCCACUCAUUCGCACUCGCUGUAUGACCCAUAAGCAGAAACCAAAGUGUGGCAAAAUGCUUAAUUUAGAAUUUAUGAGCAAUUAAUUUUAAAGCGCUCUCUGGCCAUUAACGCCGUUACUGCUUCUCCCCCUUGACCGUAAUACACCUUUGGUCAUUAAAGAAUUAAGAAGCCAGUGUGCCAAAAAUUGAUUGUUUAGCCAAUCCGCUGAUGGAUCAAUUAUUCAAUUGUUAUAGCCAAAGAGUUGGCAAUCCAAUUUGAGCACGAGUCGUAUUCCAACAAAUAGACAGGUAGGAAGCACAUUAACUGGUAGAUUUAUGAAUAAGAAAUAAUUUAAAUAAAUUUGUUAUGCUUUAGAAAUUGUUUAUUAAGGUUAAUUUAUGAGUGUUAAAUGGCUAAAAAUUAUUUAAUUGAAGGAUAAGAAAAUGUUGUGAUGUGGUAUGAUUUAAAUAAAAAAUACAAAAAUAAAUAUAGAAAAACU